AAUUAAAAUUUUCAUCAAUUUCUUCUAUUGAAAAUUGGUAUGCUUGACGAAAUAACCAAACGGUUACAUGUGGCAUGUUAUUUGUACCUUAUGUUGACAUAUAGGGACUAAUUUUUAACAGUAAAAAUAUAUAUAAUUUUUAAUA
rfam:Gossypium hirsutum cultivar TM-1 chromosome 19, whole genome shotgun sequence